rnacentral:rRNA from 1 species
AUUGAACGCUGGCGGCAUGCCUUACACAUGCAAGUCGAACGGUAACGGGCCUUCGGGUGCCGACGAGUGGCGAACGGGUGAGUAAUGUAUCGGAACGUACCUUUCAGUGGGGGGAUAACGUAGCGAAAGUUACGCUAAUACCGCAUAUUCUGUGAGCAGGAAAGCAGGGGAUCGCAAGACCUUGCGCUGAUUGAGCGGCCGAUAUCAGAUUAGCUAGUUGGUGAGGUAAAGGCUCACCAAGGCUACGAUCUGUAGCGGGUCUGAGAGGAUGAUCCGCCACACUGGAACUGAGACACGGUCCAGACUCCUACGGGAGGCAGCAGUGGGGAAUUUUGGACAAUGGGGGCAACCCUGAUCCAGCCAUGCCGCGUGAGUGAAGAAGGCCUUCGGGUUGUAAAGCUCUUUCGGCCGGGAAGAAAUCGUAUCAGCUAAUACCUGGUGCGGAUGACGGUACCGGCAUAAGAAGCACCGGCUAACUACGUGCCAGCCGCCGCAGUAAAAC